UACCCAGAAGAGUGGCUCAAGUUCACAUUCAGAAUUUAUUUGUUGAAAGAGUAUCUCCACUUUAUCACAAUCGAGCACUUCCAAUUCUUUCAGAAGUGGCCAGCUUGAACUAAACCUUCUAGAGCAAAAUCUUUUCAGUUGGUGUAAACCGGAGAGUGUGAGAGAGGUAAGGUUAGGGAAUAAGAGUAAAGGUGCUGCUUCAUCUUCAUUUUCAUUGGCAACAAUUGCCUCCACUCCACUCUCCGAUAUAUAUAGGUCCUCAAGAUGCACAAGAGCACUCGCCACAGAAACCGGAAAAAGGUUUAGCAGUUUGUUGCAUCCCCUUACUUGCAAUUUCCUUAAUUUGGAAAAUGAAUUUGCUGGAAGUUGGUCAGGCCACAAUGCUCUUAUAUUAUCUAGUCCGCGUACAGACAAGGACUCCAACCCUGGGAGUGCAACCUCUGCAAUUGAUGAUCCCUUUAGUUAAUAAUAUAUACAUAUACAUUCCUAAUAAUUAGACACAUGUAAAUAGAAAAUAAGAGGUUAAAGGAGAAUAUAUCAGUAUAACAAAGCACAAAAUUUAAACUAGAUUCAAGAAGAUCAAGAAAGAGAAAAGAAAAGAAAAAGCCUCCAGAUUUUGAAGAUACAAUGAAACUUAAAAAAAAAAAAAAAAACCUUCAAAUUUUCCUUUCGAAAUGAGCUAAUAAGAGGAUUUUUUUUUUCUUUUUUCUUUGCAUCUCUUUCAAAUUUGAUUAACUUCUAUGGAAAACGUAUUUUAACUAGUUAUGGAAAACGGAUAUUUUUUUUUUAACUUUUAUAUAAGAUACAAGUAAUACUUUAAAAAAAUUGUGAUAUCUAAAUAAUUUUUUGAAAAAUUAUUUUGAAAGAAAUAAGGUAAAUCUAUACUUUUUGUAUAAGAUGUUCAACCUUUAUAUACAAAUUUCUAAUUUUUUUUUUUAAAGUGUAUCCAAAUGGACACUAAACUAUCUAGUUUUUAAUUGUUACAACUUUGAAUUGGAUUUUAUGGUAAACUAAUUUACAAGUUAAUGCAUGGAUUCAUCUUAGAUUCCAUCUAUAAAUUUUUUUAAUUAUCUAAUAUAAGACAUUAUAUUAAUGGGUUGAAUUAAUAAUGUAAUUAUAAUUUAUUUGGCAACUUUCUUCCUUCAAAUAUAUAAAAUGAAAAUAAAUUUUAAAAAAUAAAAAAAAUGAAAAAAAUAAAAAAUAAAAAAAGAUUUUUUUUAUAGUUUUUCUAAGGUGAUUUUGUAGAGUAUUGUUAGUUUAUAGUUUUAACUUUAUUUCAUUUUACUUUUAACUUUAUUUAUUGAGGUAUGUUCUUUUUUGCAACUCUUGUUUAGAUUUUAUAGAGAAUAUAAAUUUUAAGAAAAAAAAUGAAAUUUAAAUAAAAUAAGAAUAAAGAAAGGCAAAAGGUGGAUGAAUUUUCUUAAGGCAAAAGUUUGAUAACUUGGCACUAUCAUGUAAUGGGUGAAAUUUUUAAAUACUCAACAAAGGCUAGUGAAAUUUAAAUUAAAAGCUUGACAUGUACCUUUUCGACCAAAAUCUUUGGAGUUGGUGUAAAGUUUUGAGUAUGAGAGAGGUUAGUAUAGGGAAUAUUAUUGCACAUUAGUUCAAAUAAAACAUCAACAUUUUUUUUUGUUAAAUUCUAAAUGAACACCACUAUAAAUUAAUGCGAUUUUGUAUGCUCAAUUAAAUAAACUCGUUCUUAAGGCAUCACAUGAAGUGUUUAAGUCUAAUUAAUAUUAAUUAAAAAUGAUUAUAUUAAAAAAAAUCCAAAGUAAUUUAUUUUUAUCAUAAGUCAAGUAGGAUAGUUUUAUAAAUAAUUGGUUCUAGUUUCUAGUAUUAUUGUACACAAUCGCUAUGUUUGUUGCACCUCCAAAAAAUCUACUACUUGUAAUUAAUUGUAUAUUAUUCUCCAUAUUCACAUCAGUUUAUGUAGUAUGAUUAAUUUAGCAACAAAAUAUAAGUUUACUUGAAAUCGCUUUAAAUUCCUAUGAUAUUAAAGUUUAAGAUUAAAACAAUGUAACAUUAGCCAAAAAGAUUAAGAUCUAUAAUGUAACAUAUAAAAUUUAGAAAAUUCAAGGAAGGGUAAACUCGCACCUGUUCUACCCAGAAGAGUGGCUCAAGUUCACAUUCAGAAUUUAUUUGUUGAAAGAGUAUCUCCACUUUAUCACAAUCGAGCACUUCCAAUUCUUUCAGAAGUGGCCAGCUUGAACUAAACCUUCUAGAGCAAAAUCUUUUGAGUUGGUGUAAACCGGAGAGUGUGAGAGAGGUAAGGUUAGGGAAUGAGAGUAAAGGUGCUGCUUCAUCUUCAUUUUCAUUGGCAACAAUUGCCUCCACUCCACUCUCCGAUAUAUAAAGGUCCUCAAGUUGCACAAGAGCACUCGCCACAGAAACCGGAAAAAGGUUUAGCAAUUUGUUGCAUCCCCUUCCUUGCAAUUUCCUUAAUUUGGAAAAUGAAUUUGCUGGAAGUUGGUCAGGCCACAAUGCUCUUAUAUUAUCUAGUCCACGUACAGACAAGGACUCCAAGCCUGGGAGUGCAACCUGUGCAAUUGAUGAUCCCUUUAGUUAAUAAUAUAUACAUAUACAUUCCUAAUAAUUAGACACAUGUAAAUAGAAAAUAAGAGGUUAAAGGAGAAUAUAUCAGUAUAACAAAGCACAAAAUUUAAACUAGAUUCAAGAAGAUCAAGAAAGAGAAAAGAAAAGAAAAAGCCUCCAGAUUUUGAAGAUACAAUGAAACUUAAAAAAAAAAAAAAAAAAACUUCCAAAUUUUCCUUUCGAAAUGAGGUAAUAAGAGGAUUUUUUUUUUCUUUUUUCUUUGCCUCUCUUUCAAAUUUGAUUAACUUCUAUGGAAAACGUAUUUUAACUAGUUAUGGAAAACCGAUUUUUUUUUUUUUAACUUUUAUAUAAGAUACAAGUAAUACUUUAAAAAAAUUGUGAUAUCUAAAUAAUUUUUUGAAAAAUUAUUUUUAAAGAAAUAAGGUAAAUCUAUACUUUUUGUACAAGAUGUUCUACCUUUAUAUACAAAUUUCUGAUUUUUUUUUUAAAAGUGUAUCCAAAUGGACACUAAACUAUCUAGUUUUUAAUUGUUACAACUUUGAAUUGGAUUUUAUGGUAAACUAAUUUACAAGUUAAUGCAUGGAUUCAUCUUAGAUUCCAUCUAUAAAUUUUUUUAAUUAUCUAAUAUAAGACAUUAUAUUAAUGAGUUGAAUUAAUAAUGUAAUUAUAAUUUAUUUGGCAACUUUCUUCCUUCAAAUAUAUAAAAUGAAAAUAAAGUUUAAAAAAUAAAAAAAAUGAAAAAAAUAAAAAAUAAAAAAUGAUUUUUUUUAUAGUUUUUCUAAGAUGAUUUUGUAGAGUACUGUUAGUUUAUAGUUUUAACUUUAUUUCAUUUUACUUUUAACUUUAUUUAUUGAGGUAUGUUCUUUUUUGAAACUCUUGUUUAGAUUUUAUAGAGAAUAUAAAUUUUAAGAAAAAAAAUGAAAUUUAAAUAAAAUAAGAAUAAAGAAAGGCAAAAGGUGGAUGAAUUUUUUUAAGGCAAAAGUUUGAUAACUUGGCACUAUCAUGUAAUGGGUGAAAUUUUUAAAUACUCAACAAAGGCUAGUGAAAUUUAAAUUAAAAGCUUGACAUGUACCUUUUCGACCAAAAUCUUUGGAGUUGGUGUAAAGUUUUGAGUAUGAGAGAGGUUAGUCUAGGGAAUAUUAUUGCACAUUAGUUCAAAUAAAACAUCAACAUUUUUUUUUUGUUAAAUUCUAAAUGAACACCGCUAUAAAUUAAUGCGAUUUUGUAUGCUCAAUUAAAUAAACUUGUUCUUAAGGCAUCACAUGAAGUGUUUAAGUCUAAUUAAUAUUAAUUAAAAAUGAUUAUAUUAAAAAAAAUCCAAAGUAAUUUAUUUUUAUCAUAAGUCAAGUAGGAUAGUUUUAUAAAUAAUUGGUUCUAGUUUCUAGUACUAUUGUACACAAUCGCUAUGUUUGUUGCACCUCCAAAAAAUCUACUACUUGUAAUUAAUUGUAUAUUAUUCUCCAUAUUCACAUCAGUUUAUGUAGUAUGAUUAAUUUAGCAACAAAAUAUAAGUUUACUUGAAAUCGCUUUAAAUUCCUAUGAUAUUAAAGUUUAAGAUUAAAACAAUGUAACAUUAGCCAAAAAGAUUAAGAUCUAUAAUGUAACAUAUAAUAUUUAGAAAAUUCAAGGAAGGGUAAACUCGCACCUGUUCUACCCAGAAGAGUGGCUCAAGUUCACAUUCAUAAUUUAUUUGUUGAAAGAGUAUCUCCACUUUAUCACAAUCGAGCACUUCCAAUUCUUUCAGAAGUGGCCAGCUUGAACUAAACCUUCUAGAGAAAAAUCUUUUGAGUUGGUGUAAACCGGAGAGUGUAAGAGAGGUAAGGUUAGGGAAUAAGAGUAAAAGUGCUGCUUCAUCUUCAUUUUCAUUGGCAACAAUUGCCUCCACUCCACUUUCCGAUAUAUAUAGGUCCUCAAGUUGCACAAGAGCACUCGCCACAGAAACCGGAAAAAGGUUUAGCAAUUUGUUGCAUCCCCUUACUUGCAAUUUCCUUAAUUUGGAAAAUGAAUUUGCUGGAAGUUGGUCAGACCACAAUGCUCUUAUAUUAUCUAGUCCGCGUACAGACAAGGACUCCAAACCUGGGAGUGCAACCUGUGCAAUUGAUGAUCCCUUUAGUUAAUAAUAUAUACAUAUACAUUCCUAAUAAUUAGACACAUGUAAAUAGAAAAUAAGAGGUUAAAGGAGAAUAUAUCAGUAUAACAAAGCACAAAAUUUAAACUAGAUUCAAGAAGAUCAAGAAAGAGAAAAGAAAAGAAAAAGCCUCCAGAUUUUGAAGAUACAAUGAAACUUAACAAAAAAAAAAAAAAACCACCAAAUUUUCCUUUCGAAAUGAGGUAAUAAGAGGAUUUUUUUUUUUUCUUUUUUCUUUGCCUCUCUUUCAAAUUUGAUUAACUUCUAUGGAAAACGUAUUUUAACUAGUUAUGGAAAACAUAUUUUUUUUUUAAAAAACUUUUCUAUAAGAUACAAGUAAUACUUUAAAAAAAUUGUGAUAUCUAAAAAAUUUUUUGAAAAAUUAUUUUUAAAGAAAUAAGGUAAAUCUAUACUUUUUGUAUAAGAUGUUCUACCUUUAUAUACAAAUUUCUGAUUUUUUUUUUAAAAGUGUAUCCAAAUGGACACUAAACUAUCUAGUUUUUAAUUGUUACAACUUUGAAUUGGAUUUUAUGGUAAACUAAUUUACAAGUUAAUGCAUGGAUUCAUCUUAGAUUCCAUCUAUAAAUUUUUUUAAUUAUCUAAUAUAAGACAUUAUAUUAAUGGGUUGAAUUAAUAAUGUAAUUAUAAUUUAUUUGGCAAGUUUCUUCCUUCAAAUAUAUAAAAUGAAAAUAAAUUUUAAAAAAUAAAAAAAAUGAAAAAAAUAAAAAAUAAAAAAAGAUUUUUUUUAUAGUUUUUCUAAGAUGAUUUUGUAGAGUACUGUUAGUUUAUAGUUUUAACUUUAUUUCAUUUUACUUUUAACUUUAUUUAUUGAGGUAUGUUCUUUUUUGAAACUCUUGUUUAGAUUUUAUAGAGGAUAUAAAUUUUCAGAAAAAAAAAAUUAAAUUUAAAUAAAAUAGGAAUAAAGAAAGGCAAAAGGUGGAUGAAUUUUUUUAAGGCAAAAGUUUGAUAACUUGGCACUAUCAUGUAAUGGGUGAAAUUUUUAAAUACUCAACAAAGGCUAGUGAAAUUUAAAUUAAAAGCUUGACAUGUACCUUUUCGACCAAAAUCUUUGGAGUUGGUGUAAAGUUUUGAGUAUGAGAGAGGUUAGUCUAGGGAAUAUUAUUGCACAUUAGUUCAAAUAAAACAUCAACAUUUUUUUUUUUGUUAAAUUCUAAAUGAACACCACUAUAAAUUAAUGCGAUUUGUAUGCUCAAUUAAAUAAACUCGUUCUUAAGGCAUCACAUGAAGUGUUUAAGUCUAAUUAAUAUUAAUUAAAAAUGAUUAUUUUAAAAAAAUCCAAAGUAAUUUAUUUUUAUCAUAAGUCAAGUAGGAUAGUUUUAUAAAUAAUUGGUUCUAGUUUCUAGUAUUAUUGUACACAAUCGCUAUGUUUGUUGCACCUCCAAAAAAUCUACUACUUGUAAUUAAUUGUAUAUUAUUCUCCAUAUUCACAUCAGUUUAUGUAGUAUGAUUAAUUUAGCAACAAAAUAUAAGUUUACUUGAAAUCGCUUUAAAUUCCUAUGAUAUUAAAGUUUAAGAUUAAAACAAUGUAACAUUAGCCAAAAAGACUAAGAUCUAUAAUGUAACAUAUAAAAUUUAGAAAAUUCAAGGAAGGGUAAACUCGCACCUGUUCUACCCAGAAGAGUGGCUCAAGUUCACAUUCAGAAUUUAUUUGUUGAAAGAGUAUCUCCACUUUAUCACAAUCGAGCACUUCCAAUUCUUUCAGAAGUGGCCAGCUUGAACUAAACCUUCUAGAGCAAAAUCUUUUGAGUUGGUGUAAACCGGAGAGUGUGAGAGAGGUAAGGUUAGGGAAUGAGAGUAAAGGUGCUGCUUCAUCUUCAUUUUCAUUGGCAACAAUUGCCUCCACUCCACUCUCCGAUAUAUAAAGGUCCUCAAGUUGCACAAGAGCACUCGCCACAGAAACCGGAAAAAGGUUUAGCAAUUUGUUGCAUCCCCUUACUUGCAAUUUCCUUAAUUUGGAAAAUGAAUUUGCUGGAAGUUGGUCAGGCCACAAUGCUCUUAUAUUAUCUAGUCCGCGUACAGACAAGGACUCCAAACCUGGGAGUGCAACCUGUGCAAUUGAUGAUCCCUUUAGUUAAUAAUAUAUACAUAUACAUUCCUAAUAAUUAGACACAUGUAAAUAGAAAAUAAGAGGUUAAAGGAGAAUAUAUCAGUAUAACAAAGCACAA
rnacentral:lncRNA from 1 species